UACGAAGGGGGGCUAGCGUUGUUCGGAAUUACUGGGCGUAAAGGGCGCGUAGGCGGUGUGUCAAGUCAGGCGUGAAAGCCCCGGGCUCAACCUGGGAACAGCGCUUGAGACUGGCACGCUCGAGUUCGGGAGAGGAUGGUGGAAUUCCCAGUGUAGAGGUGAAAUUCGUAGAUAUUCGCAAGAACACCAGUGGCGAAGGCGGCUCACUGGCCCGGUACUGACGCUGAGGCGCGAAAGCGUGGGGAGCAAACAGG
rnacentral:rRNA from 1 species